UAGAAAAGGCCGGGAUAGC
rnacentral:tRNA from 1 species